UACGAAGGGGGCGAGCGUUGUUCGGAUUUACUGGGCGUAAAGGGCGCGCAGGCGGCUCAUUUUGUCAGGCGUGAAAGCCCCGGGCCCAACCUGGGAACUGCGCUUGAGACGGAUGGGCUAGAGAUCGGGAGAGGAGAGUGGAAUUCCCAGUGUAGAGGUGAAAUUCGUAGAUAUUGGGAAGAACACCGGUGGCGAAGGCGGCUCUCUGGACCGAGACUGACGCUGAGGCGCGAAAGCGUGGGGAUCAAACAGG
rnacentral:misc_RNA from 1 species